rnacentral:rRNA from 1 species
AUAAAAAUUUUUAUUUAUAUUUGUUUAAUUUUUUAUUAUUUAAUUAAAAUAUUAAAAUUUUUAUUAUUUUAUAAGAAAAAAUUAUUUUUAUUAUAGUAAAUUAGUAUUGUGAAAGAAUAAAUAAUUAUUAUAAAAAGAAAUUUUUAUUUAUUGUACCUUUUGUAUCAGGGUUUAUUAAAAAAAAAAAGUAUUUUUAAAUCUCGAAUUUAAAAGAGCUAAAUUAAAGUUAAUUUUAUUGUUAAAUAAAUAUUUAAAAUUUUAAUUUUGUAAUAAAAUGUUAUUCGUUUUUAAAUAUAUCUAGUUUUUUAAGAAAAAAAUUUAAUUUGAUAAUUAUAAAAUAUUAUUUUGUUUUAAAAAUUUAGUUUUUUUAAUUAUUUAUUUUAUUAGGGAUAAGCUUAAUUUAUAGUUUAUAAUUUAUUGAUAAUUUAAUAAGAUAUAGAAUUAGAAUUUUUCAUUUAUAAAAAUAUGUUGUAAUUAAUUUUUUAUUUAUUUUAUUUAUAUAAAAUUUAACUUAUUAUUAAAAUAUUGAUUAAAAUUUUAAAAAUUAAGAAAAUAUGAUUAAAUUAGUAUAAUAAAUUUUAAAUUUGUGUAUAGUUAAAUUGAAGUUAAGGAAUUCGGCAAAUAUAGAUUUUACCUGUUUAUUAAAAACAUGGCUUUUUGAAAAUAAUUUAAAGUUAGGCCUGCCCAAUGAAAAUUUAAUGGCUGCAGUAUUUUGACUGUACAAAGGUAGCAUAAUCAUUAGUUUUUUAAUUGAGAACUGGAAUGAAAGGUUUGAUAAAAAUUUUACUGUCUUAAUUUUAUUAAAAAAUUUUAUUUUUAAGUUAAAAAGCUUAAAUUUUUUAAGAAGACGAGAAGACCCUUUAGAGUUUAACUAAAUAAUUAAAUAAUUAUAUAUGUAAUUUUUAUUUUAUUUAUAAAUUUAGUUUGAUUGGGGUGAUUUAAAAAUUUAAAAAACUUUUUAUUAAAUUUACAUUAAUAAAUGAUUAAUUGAUCCAAUAAUUUUGAUUAAAAGAAUAAAUUACCUUAGGGAUAACAGCGUAAUUUUUUUUGAAAGUUCUUAUUGAAAAAAAAGAUUGCGACCUCGAUGUUGGAUUAAAAUUUAAUUAAGGUGUAGAAGCUUUAAGAUUAAGUCUGUUCGACUUUUAAAAUUUUACAUGAUCUGAGUUUAAACCGGUGUGAGCCAGGUUGGUUUCUAUCUUUUAAAAAUUAAAUAUUUUAGUACGAAAGGACCAAAUAUUUAAAUUUAAUUUUAAAUAAUGAAUU